rnacentral:rRNA from 1 species
UACGAAGGGGGGCUAGCGUUGCUCGGAAUUACUGGGCGUAAAGGGAGCGUAGGCGGACAUUUUAAGUCAGAGGUGAAAUCCCGGAGCUUAACUUCGGAACUGCCUUUGAUACUGGGUGUCUUGAGUGUGAGAGAGGUAUGUGGAACUCCGAGUGUAGAGGUGAAAUUCGUAGAUAUUCGGAAGAACACCAGUGGCGAAGGCGACAUACUGGCUCAUUACUGACGCUGGAGGCUC